UGUGCCAGAAGCCGCGGUAAUACGUAGGGUGCAAGCGUUAAUCGGAAUUACUGGGCGUAAAGCGUGCGCAGGCGGUUUGUUAAGACGGAUGUGAAAUCCCCGGGCUCAACCUGGGAACUGCAUUCGUGACUGGCAAGCUAGAGUAUGGCAGAGGGGGGUAGAAUUCCACGUGUAGCAGUGAAAUGCGUAGAGAUGUGGAGGAAUACCGAUGGCGAAGGCAGCCCCCUGGGCCAAUACUGACGCUCAUGCACGAAAGCGUGGGGAGCAAACAGGAUUAGAUACCCUGGUAGUCCACGCCCUAAACGAUGUCAACUAGUUGUUGGGGAUUCAUUUCCUUAGUAACGAAGCUAACGCGUGAAGUUGACCGCCUGGGGAGUACGGUCGCAAGAUUAAAACUCAAAGAAAUUGACGGGA
rnacentral:rRNA from 1 species